UACGUAGGGUGCGAGCGUUGUCCGGAAUUAUUGGGCGUAAAGAGCUCGUAGGCGGCUUGUCGCGUCGACUGUGAAAUCUCAGGGCUCAACUCUGACAUUGCAGUCGAUACGGGCAGGCUAGAGUUCGGUAGGGGAGACUGGAAUUCCUGGUGUAGCGGUGGAAUGCGCAGAUAUCAGGAGGAACACCUGUGGCGAAAGCGGCGCACUGGACCACAACUGACGCUGAGGCGCGAAAGCUAGGGGAGCAAACAGG
rnacentral:rRNA from 1 species